rnacentral:rRNA from 1 species
CGGCGUGCCUAAUACAUGCAAGUAGAACGCUGAAGAGAGGAGCUUGCUCUUCUUGGAUGAGUUGCGAACGGGUGAGUAACGCGUAGGUAACCUGCCUUGUAGCGGGGGAUAACUAUUGGAAACGAUAGCUAAUACCGCAUAACAAUGGAUGACCCAUGUCAUUUAUUUGAAAGGGGCAAAUGCUCCACUACAAGAUGGACCUGCGUUGUAUUAGCUAGUAGGUGAGGUAACGGCUCACCUAGGCGACGAUACAUAGCCGACCUGAGAGGGUGAUCGGCCACACUGGGACUGAGACACGGCCCAGACUCCUACGGGAGGCAGCAGUAGGGAAUCUUCGGCAAUGGGGGCAACCCUGACCGAGCAACGCCGCGUGAGUGAAGAAGGUUUUCGGAUCGUAAAGCUCUGUUGUAAGUCAAGAACGAGUGUGAGAGUGGAAAGUUCACACUGUGACGGUAGCUUACCAGAAAGGGACGGCUAACUACGUGCCAGCAGCCGCGGUAAUACGUAGGUCCCGAGCGUUGUCCGGAUUUAUUGGGCGUAAAGCGAGCGCAGGCGGUUUGAUAAGUCUGAAGUUAAAGGCUGUGGCUCAACCAUAGUUCGCUUUGGAAACUGUCAAACUUGAGUGCAGAAGGGGAGAGUGGAAUUCCAUGUGUAGCGGUGAAAUGCGUAGAUAUAUGGAGGAACACCGGUGGCGAAAGCGGCUCUCUGGUCUGUAACUGACGCUGAGGCUCGAAAGCGUGGGGAGCGAACAGGAUUAGAUACCCUGGUAGUCCACGCCGUAAACGAUGAGUGCUAGGUGUUGGAUCCUUUCCGGGAUUCAGUGCCGCAGCUAACGCAUUAAGCACUCCGCCUGGGGAGUACGACCGCAAGGUUGAAACUCAAAGGAAUUGACGGGGGCCCGCACAAGCGGUGGAGCAUGUGGUUUAAUUCGAAGCAACGCGAAGAACCUUACCAGGUCUUGACAUCCCGAUGCUAUUUCUAGAGAUAGAAAGUUACUUCGGUACAUCGGUGACAGGUGGUGCAUGGUUGUCGUCAGCUCGUGUCGUGAGAUGUUGGGUUAAGUCCCGCAACGAGCGCAACCCCUAUUGUUAGUUGCCAUCAUUCAGUUGGGCACUCUAGCGAGACUGCCGGUAAUAAACCGGAGGAAGGUGGGGAUGACGUCAAAUCAUCAUGCCCCUUAUGACCUGGGCUACACACGUGCUACAAUGGUUGGUACAACGAGUUGCGAGUCGGUGACGGCAAGCUAAUCUCUUAAAGCCAAUCUCAGUUCGGAUUGUAGGCUGCAACUCGCCUACAUGAAGUCGGAAUCGCUAGUAAUCGCGGAUCAGCACGCCGCGGUGAAUACGUUCCCGGGCCUUGUACACACCGCCCGUCACACCACGAGAGUUUGUAACACCCGAAGUCGGUGAGGUAACCUUUUGGAGCCAGCCGCCUAAGGUGGGAUAGAUGAUUGGGGUGAAGUC